rnacentral:ncRNA from 2 species
AUUGAAUAUCAACGGAUGAGUGAUUCUUUCCUGAGGGAAAGAAUUGAAAAGGGAAGUCAGUUAAGCUGAUGCGGUACUCGCCACUGUAAAAGGGAGUUUGCUUACAAAAUGUCACUGGGGAUCUAUUCCCGGGAAGACGUAAGUUGAUGAAGAUCUUAAGCCAGGAGACCUGCUUAUGCCGAAGUCAAAAC